rnacentral:lncRNA from 1 species
ACUGCGGACAGACGGCCUGGGGGGAAUCACAGUGUCGUCCCGAAAGGCUGAGUUUUGCCUGGCUAAUAAUGACGGGGAGCUAGAGAAGAGGGUGAGUGACUUCGGGGCAGCGUCAUUCACCAGUUCUUCCAGGUACUUCAUUUGAUGUUGCCAGUAAAGAGGGAGACUUGCAAUUCGUGGCAGAAACUAGAGAGAGCCCAUUUUCUGACAUAAGCUUAGAAGGAAACUCCUUUGGUGCUGUAAACACAACUGAAAUCCUUUACGUAGCCAAAAAUUUAAGAGAAAAAUCAUUCUCUUAAGACCUGAUAGAGGAAACUUCUGGCAUCCUUGUGUCUCAACUCAGCUUUUCUCUUUCCCAUUUAAAAAUUUAGGAGAGGAGAGAUGUAUGCUAGCAGUGAUAAAAAAAAAAAAAAAAAAAAAAAAAAACCAACAGCCCCAUUAAGAACACCUGCAUAACGUUUGAAACAGACUAUUAGGGUUUCUUCCAAACACGCACGUAAGCUUUGUCCAACAGGAGCUGACUCAGAUACAGUGCACAGUUUACUCACUGCUCCCAGCUGGCUCUUGGCAGACCUUGUCUUGGUUUCAGCACAACUCUUGGAAGACACUGAUACCAAAAUUUGCUACUGGUUCACCUCCCGGAAAGAGGUAGCCAGCUUUUCUGCACUGCUCACAUAGAAGAUGUGUGCUCUGGACUUCUCAUUUGGACUUAAAUAUUGCAUUAAAAGAAAUCAUCAAAAGAAAUCCCUAAAACCUUCAGACUCAUUAUGUGAGGGUGUGUGUUUUUAUUAAGGGUAUGUUAAACUACCCUGUUACUAUUCAAGGAACAACCAAGAUGACAUCUCUUUAAGCUACAUCGAUUCAAACUCUCACAGACCGACACAUAGCACGCAGAGUGCAAAUUAAUAUGGUGAAGGAUGGUGCACACUUAAACCACACUUUGAAACAACACACUGCUCCAGAAGAUGAUCUGCUGAGAACAUUCUCAUCUCGCUUAACUGAAAUUAAUCAAAAUUAAACAAAUUCUC